rnacentral:rRNA from 1 species
CUUCCGUAGGGUGAACCUGCGGAGGGAUCAUUACACAAUACAAUAUGAAGGCUGUCCGCAGCUGGAGUAUUUUAUUACCCUUGUCUUUUGCGCACUUGUUGUUUCCUGGGCGGGUUCGCUCGCCACCAGGACCACCAAAUAAACCUUUUUUAUGCAGUUGCAAUCAGCGUCAGUACAAACAAUGUAAAUCAUUUACAACUUUCAACAACGGAUCUCUUGGUUCUGGCAUCGAUGAAGAACGCAGCGAAAUGCGAUACGUAGUGUGAAUUGCAGAAUUCAGUGAAUCAUCGAAUCUUUGAACGCACAUUGCGCCCUUUGGUAUUCCAAAGGGCAUGCCUGUUCGAGCGUCAUUUGUACCCUCAAGCUUUGCUUGGUGUUGGGCGUUUUUGUCUUUGGUCGCCCAAAGACUCGCCUUAAAGUGAUUGGCAGCCGGCCUUUCUGGUUUCGCAGCGCAGCACAUUUUUGCGCUUGCCAUCAGCAAAACGGCAAUCCAUCAAGCCUCCUUCUCACGUUUGACCUCGGAUCAGGUACGGAUGCCCGCUGAACUUAAGCAUAUCAAUAAGCGGAGGAAA